rfam:Arabidopsis thaliana chromosome 3, complete sequence.
GGAGACCAAUUGGGAGAACUAUGACACGAGCCGCUACCACUUUGAAGAACACAAGCCCCCUUCACGAGAAAGCAAGAGUCUCGCUGAAGCACACCGGAAGCUCAGUCUAACCCAAAGGUGGUGCAAGUUUCAAGACAAGAUCAUCCAUAAGUGUGUCAAGGCCAUUGACAACAUGCAGAAGGCAAUCAGUUGCACCACAUCCACUAGUGCGAUCACC